GGUCGCAAACUUUUUUGUCGAUAUGAACUCUCAAAAUAAAUAACGCUGUUAUCCCUAAAGUAACUUAAAUUUUUAAUCACAACNAAUNGGAUCANCUAAAUACNNNNNNAAACAUCUUUGAAUUUAAAUUUUAAACAGUUACNNAAAUUAUAUUAUCGUCGCCCCAACGAAAUAAUUNUAACAUCUAAAUGAUAUUAUACUUACAAUUCAUCUAAUUAUAUGCAAAAUUAUUAAGCUUUAUAGGGUCUUAUCGUCCCUUUAAAAUAUUUAAGCCUUUUCACUUAAAAGUCAACUUUGAAUACUUUUUUCGAGACAGUUUGCUUCUUGUCCAACCAUUCAUACAAGCCUCCAAUUAAGANNCUAAUGACUAUGCUACCUUC
rnacentral:rRNA from 1 species